rnacentral:rRNA from 1 species
CCCCAGACUCCUACGGGAGGCAGCAGUGAGGAAUAUUGGUCAAUGGUCGGGAGACUGAACCAGCCAAGCCGCGUGAGGGAGGAAGGUACAGAGUAUCGUAAACCUCUUUUGUCAGGGAACAAAGACUGGGACGCGUCCCCGGAUGAGUGUACCUGAAGAAAAAGCAUCGGCUAACUCCGUGCCAGCAGCCGCGGUAAUACGGAGGAUGCGAGCGUUAUCCGGAUUUAUUGGGUUUAAAGGGUGCGCAGGCGGAAGCGGCAAGUCAGCGGUAAAAUUGGGGGGCUCAACCUCGCCGAGCCGUUGAAACUGCUCUUCUAGAGUGGGCGAGAAGUAUGCGGAAUGCGUGGUGUAGCGGUGAAAUGCAUAGAUACCACGCAGAACUCCGAUUGCGAAGGCAGCAUACCGGCGCCCAACUGACGCUCAUGCACGAAAGCGUGGGUAUCGAACAGGAUUAGAUACCCCGGUAC